rnacentral:sRNA from 1 species
GGAGCAGAGGGGAGGAGUUUCUUUUCGUUUCCUCGGUGGCAAGGCGAACCCGGCAGAGAUCCUGCCUCUUUUGGCUUAGAGAUGUUAAAAAUGACAAGCAAAGUUUUCUCUUUGUCCCUUGCUUUUCAUAAAACCAAAGUCUUGAUCGUGUAACUGCCUCUUGUCCCAAGGGAGACUGUGUAAAAGGGAGGGAAAAGAAGCGGAGUGGGUGAGGGGUGGCAGAGCAGAUCCGGGGGACAGCGGAGAAGAGGCGCGAGCCAGUCUCUGGCAGGAGGGCGUGGAUACCGGUGCAAGCUCGAACAGGUCCAGCCUUCUGGAGACCUGUGCCAACAGCAGGAGGGGACAGACGGGAUCUCUGUGGGCAAACUAGGGUGUGGACCAGCCGGGAGCGCCUAACUAGAAACUCCCCUGGAUCCUCCCAGAGGCACUGGACUCGCUGGUCCCCUUUUGCCCCACUGAGCCACCUUUAGAAGUUUUCCCAAGAGAAGGUACCAGACAGAUCGGAUGUCAGAGGCAGCUCAGGUGUAAUAAACUAACUGCAGACAAUGAUUCUACCUUGAUAAUCCAGGCAGACCACAGUGGAUCAAGCAUUACUGGUUUCUCCCAUUUCUUCAGUGAACAGAAAGUAUUAGAGAUCUUCUUCAAUCUUUGCACAUUGCCUCCUUUCCAAGGAACAAUGGAAUUGCCAUUAGGUGGAAGAGGAUUGAUCCUGAGUCUAAUUUUCCUCCUGUUAAAAUUGUCAACAGCUGAAAUACCACUCUCAGGUAAAAACACAGAUUCCCUGCUAUGGAAGUUUGUAUCUGUAUUUUAAGUAGAACACAUAUGGAAUGAGGAUGUAGUUUUUCUAUUGCAAUAUCUGAAUCAUCAUGAAGGUUCAUGGUUAUGUUUUUCAGGCUAGGAUACAUAGCUGAACACAUAACUUUUCAACUUAGUUAUUUUGUUUUUCAAGCAUCCGUUUAUAAGAAAUAUAAUAUAGAUAUCAGAAUAUUUGUCAUAUGUCUAAGAUGAUAUGGAAUAUUACA